rnacentral:misc_RNA from 1 species
AGAACGGGAGUACGGUUGACUGCGUAACAGUAGCACAUAAUCUAUUAAUUCAAAUGAUGCUCUGCAAGAAAUUGUUGAGUUGAUGGCCCUACUGGGGUUCUAAAGAUCAUACGAAAGUAAACCCGCAAUUAUCGCCCGUGUAUAAAUCCCGU